GGGCCCGUAGCUCAGUUGGUAGAGCACUUCACUUUUAAUGAAGCUGUCACGCGUUCAAGUCGCGUCGGGCUCA
rnacentral:tRNA from 1 species